AUGGUGGGAACUCAAAGGAGACUGCCGGUGAUAAACCGGAGGAAGGUGGGGAUGACGUCAAGUCAUCAUGGCCCUUACGAGUAGGGCUACACACGUGCUACAAUGGCGUAUACAAAGAGAAGCGACCUCGCGAGAGCAAGCGGAACUCAUAAAGUACGUCGUAGUCCGGAUUGGAGUCUGCAACUCGACUCCAUGAAGUCGGAAUCGCUAGUAAUCGUAGAUCAGAAUGCUACGGUGAAUACGUUCCCGGGCCUUGUACACACCGCCCGUCACACCAUGGGAGUGGGUUGCAAAAGAAGUAGGUAGCUUAACCUUCGGGAGGGCGCUUACCACUUUGUGAUUCAUGACUGGGGUGAAGUCGUAACAAGGUAACCGUAGGGGAACCUGCGGUUGGAUCACCUCCUUA
rnacentral:rRNA from 1 species